GUGUUAUAUCAGCUUUACCCUGUUGACGAGUCGGUUUGUCGUCGCCGUCAUGGCUGCUUACAAUUCAGGGUGAGACUAAGAUAGUUCCCGUUGUGAAAGCAGCUCCCCUUGCCGCUGCAAGGGGUCGGUCACUUGCUGACUGGUCAGUGAAGGAUGUCCAGAAUUGGCUCACGAAGACAGGAUUAACAAAUGACUCGUUGCUACGCAAACAGACUGGGGAUGAUCUAUUGUUUCUGCGUGAAGUAUCUCACAGGGCACCCGAGUUUUACUUCAACUAUCUGCUGACUAAUCUUCAGCUGCCCUUUGGUGACCUCAAGAAGUUCAGC